rfam:Cavia porcellus supercont2_23 genomic scaffold, whole genome shotgun sequence.
AUCCUCAGUUCCUAAGUGUGAUGAUUGGAUAUUCAUACUGUAUGCAUGACAUGUGCCUUCUUCAAACCUUGUUAUGACAUCAGCACAUUACUCAUCUGAUG